rnacentral:tRNA from 2 species
GGGCUAGUAGCUCAGUUGGUUAGAGCGCACGCUUGAUAAGCGUGAGGUCGAAGGUUCAAGUCCUUCCUGGCCCACCA